UACGGGAGUGGCAAGCGUUAUCCGGAAUUAUUGGGCGUAAAGCGUCCGCAGGCGGUCUUGUAAGUCUGUUGUUAAAGCGUGGAGCUUAACUCCAUUUCAGCAAUGGAAACUGUAAGACUAGAGUGUGGUAGGGGCAGAGGGAAUUCCCGGUGUAGCGGUGAAAUGCGUAGAUAUCGGGAAGAACACCAGUGGCGAAGGCGCUCUGCUGGGCCAUAACUGACGCUCAUGGACGAAAGCCAGGGGAGCGAAAGGGAUUAGAUACCCCUGUAGUCCUGGCCGUAAACGAUGAACACUAGGUGUCGGGGGAAUCGACCCCCUCGGUGUCGUAGCCAACGCGUUAAGUGUUCCGCCUGGGGAGUACGCACGCAAGUGUGAAACUCAAAGGAAUUGACGGGGGCCCGCACAAGCGGUGGAGUAUGUGGUUUAAUUCGAUGCAACGCGAAGAACCUUACCAGGGUUUGACAUCCUGCGAAUCUUUUGGAAACGAGAGAGUGCCUUCGGGAACGCAGUGACAGGUGGUGCAUGGCUGUCGUCAGCUCGUGUCGUGAGAUGUUGGGUUAAGUCCCGCAACGAGCGCAACCCACGUCGUUAGUUGCCAGCAUUGAGUUGGGCACUCUAGCGAGACCGCCGGUGAUAAACCGGAGGAAGGUGUGGAUGACGUCAAGUCAUCAUGCCCCUUACAUCCUGGGCUACACACGUACUACAAUGCUACGGACAAAGGGCAGCAAACUCGCGAGAGCUAGCAAAUCCCAUAAGCCGUGGCUCAGUUCAGAUCGUAGGCUGCAACUCGCCUACGUGAAGGAGGAAUCGCUAGUAAUCGCUGGUCAGCCAUACAGCGGUGAAUACGUUCUCGGAUCU
rnacentral:rRNA from 1 species